AUACGCCGAUUGCCUUGAGUUGAUCAUGGCUCAGAAUCAACGCUGGCGGCGUGCCUAACACAUGCAAGUCGAACGCGAAAGCCCCGCAAGGGGCAAGUAGAGUGGCAAACGGGUGAGUAACACGUGGGUGACCUGCCUUCGAGUGGGGGAUAACGUCCCGAAAGGGACGCUAAUACCGCAUGACAUCCUGCCUUUAGAAAGGCGGAGAUCAAAGCUAGGGAUCGCAAGACCUGGCGCUUGAAGAGGGGCCCGCGCCUGAUUAGCUAGUUGGUGGGGUAAUGGCUCACCAAGGCAACGAUCAGUAGCCGGCCUGAGAGGGCGGACGGCCACACUGGGACUGAGACACGGCCCAGACUCCUACGGGAGGCAGCAGUGGGGAAUUGUUCGCAAUGGGCGCAAGCCUGACGACGCAACGCCGCGUGGAGGAUGAAGAUCUUCGGGUCGUAAACUCCUGUCGAGCGGGAAGAACGCCUCGUGGGUGAAUAGCCCGCGAGGGUGACGGUACCGCUAAAGGAAGCCCCGGCUAACUCCGUGCCAGCAGCCGCGGUAAUACGGGGGGGGCAAGCGUUGUUCGGAAUUACUGGGCGUAAAGGGCUCGUAGGUGGCCAACUAAGUCAGACGUGAAAUCCCCAGGCUUAACCUGGGAACUGCGUCUGAUACUGGAUGGCUUGAAUUCGGGAGAGGGAUGCAGAAUUCCAGGUGUAGCGGUGAAAUGCGUAGAUAUCUGGAGGAAUCCGGUGGCGAAGGCGGCAUCC
rnacentral:rRNA from 1 species